rnacentral:rRNA from 1 species
AUUGAACGCUGGCGGCAGGCUUAACACAUGCAAGUCGAACGAGUGGCGGACGGGAGAGUAAUGUCUGGGAAACUGCCUGAUGGAGGGGGAUAACUACUGGAAACGGUAGCUAAUACCGCAUACUCUCGGAUGUGCCCAGAUGGGAUUAGCUAGUAGGUGGGGUAAAGGCUCACCUGGGCGACGAUCCCUAGCUGGUCUGGGAGGAUGACCAGCCACACUGGAACUGAGACACGGUCCAGACUCCUAAGGGAGGCAGCAGUGGGGAAUAUUGCACAAUGGGCGCAAGCCGGAUGCAGCCAAGCCGCGUGUAUGAAGAAGGCCAUCGGGUUGUAAAGUACGUUCAGCUGGGAGGCGUUACCCGCAGAAGAAGCACCGGCUAACUCCGUGCCAGCAGCCGCGGUAAUAC